rnacentral:misc_RNA from 1 species
GCUGAAUGGAAUGCUAUUGAAUGACAAACAAGUAUAUGUUGGACCUUUUCUUCGGAAGCAGGAAAGGGAGAACAUGUCAGACGUGACUAAAUUUAACAAUGUUUUUGUCAAAAAUCUUUCGGAGUCUACAACUGAAGAUGAUUUAACAAAAACUUUUGGUGAAUUUGGAAAUAUAACUAGUGUCGUAGUUAUGAGGGAGGGUGGUAAGUCGAAGGGCUUUGGGUUU